AUCUAUGGCCAUGUCACCCUGAACAAGCCUGAUCCCGUCUGAUCUCGGAAGCUAAGCAGGAUUGGGCCGGCCUGGUAGUACUUGGAUGGGAGACCACCUAGGAAGACUAGGUGCUGUAGACA
rnacentral:rRNA from 1 species